rnacentral:rRNA from 1 species
UUGAAAGGGAAACGAUUGAAGUCAGUCGUACCAGCGGGAAAUCAACCUUUCGAGUGGGGGUUUUGGAGUUUUUUGAAGAGUGUCAAAACCUUUGAGAUUUCAAAAUAUUCGCUCUUUUGGUGUACUUUCUCGUGGGUAGGUUAACAUCGAUUUUGAUCAUCAUAAAAAGAUUGGAGGAAUGUAGCUUCGAUCUUGUAUUGAAGUGUUAUAGCCCUUUGGUAAAUGUGAUGAUUAGGAUCGAGGAUUGCAACGAAUACCCUUUUGGGCUAUCCGCCUGAUCUCUGAUACGUGGCCUUGGUAUCGAAAGCGUGCUUAUGGUAUUGAGGUAUUACGGUCAAAAGGUUAGAACGGAUACAUUCGUUAAGGAUGUUGACGUA